ACGCACGCUGGCGGCGUGCCUAAUACAUGCAAGUAGAACGCUGAAGGAGGAGCUUGCUUCUCUGGAUGAGUUGCGAACGGGUGAGUAACGCGUAGGUAACCUGCCUGGUAGCGGGGGAUAACUAUUGGAAACGAUAGCUAAUACCGCAUAAUAGUAGAUGUUGCAUGACAUUUGCUUAAAAGGUGCAAUUGCAUCACUACCAGAUGGACCUGCGUUGUAUUAGCUAGUUGGUGAGGUAACGGCUCACCAAGGCGACGAUACAUAGCCGACCUGAGAGGGUGAUCGGCCACACUGGGACUGAGACACGGCCCAGACUCCUACGGGAGGCAGCAGUAGGGAAUCUUCGGCAAAGGACGGAAGUCUGACCGAGCAACGCCGCGCGAGUGAAGAAGGUUUUCGGAUCGUAAAGCUCUGUUGUAAGAGAAGAACGAGUGUGAGAGUGGAAAGUUCACACUGUGACGGUAUCUUACCAGAAAGGGACGGCUAACUACGUG
rnacentral:rRNA from 1 species